AGGAGAAGAUUUUGAAAGACAACAUUGUGAUCAUCCUUUUUGAUGUACUCUUUCAUUGACAGAGCUCAAGGAAAUGAUGGAAAAUGAGCCAAAAGCAUCGUGUGAGUCAAGAGGUGCAGAAGUGCUGCCAAGCAUAGAUUCCCACCAUGGCAGGAACGACUCCUGGGGUGGUGAAUUCCAAAGAAAUGGCUCUGUGGUGGCUGGCACCGGCUGCAGCAGGAAAAUCACACAGAGACAGGAACAAGGCAGCAGGUGUUAGAUUCAGUAAAACCUGCAAAGGACAAGGAGUUAAUCUGCUGCAGAAGAUACAAGUGGGGUUACCAGAACAUGCUAUUGCCAGCCCAAAGCAAGCUAAAAAUUGCUGAGAAUGACCAAAAGGGCAAUUAGAAACACCAUGUGCUAUGGGACUGAAGGAUGGCUUCAUCCAUCAUGGGGAACUUCCUAGUUCAUCAUGCAUCUUGAGGAUGACUGAAAGGCACUGGAUUUGCUAUUUGGUACCCACCAAGGAAGUUUUACAUCACCUGCUCCUGUGGUGUUUCCAGGUAAGAUCUCUGCUCUGCUGUGGAAUGAGAGGACACACCACGUAGCAGUGCCUAGCACUCAGAAGUGGCAACUCCUUUUUCUUGGCUGAGUGAGAACCUAGCCUCACCUCUUGCCAGGUAAAGCGACACACUUACCUGUCUUCUGCUCUCUCCUCCCCUUACCUGGCUGGCUGAUACUCCUUAUCUUCUUACCCUUUUUCCCAUUAUCUAUGUUCCUUUUUUUUUUUUUUUUUUUUUUUUU